rnacentral:rRNA from 1 species
AUGGUUAAGCUAAUAAGAGCACACGGAGGAUGCCUAGGCGCCAGGAGCCGACGAAGGACGUGGCGAACAACGAAACUGCCUCGGGGAGCUGUAAGCAAGCUUUGAUCCGGGGGUGUCCGAAUGGGGAAACCCAGCUGUGGUAAUUCGCAGUUACUCAUACCUGAAUACAUAGGGUAUGUAGAGGCAGACCAGGGGAACUGAAACAUCUAAGUACCCUGAGGAAGAGAAAACAAUAGUGAUUCCGUCAGUAGCGGCGAGCGAACGCGGAACAGCCUAAACCAAGGGGCUUGCCUCUUGGGGUUGUGGGACGUCUCACAUGGAGUUACAAAGGAAUAUGGUAGGUGAAGAGGUCUGGAAAGGCCCGCGAUAGAGGUAAAAGCCCUGUAACCUAAACUGUGUUCUCUCCGAGACGGAUCCCGAGUAGUGCGGGGCACGUGAAACCCCGUAUGAAUCCAGCAGGACCAUCUGCUAAGGCUAAAUACUACCUGGCGACCGAUAGUGAAACAGUACCGUGAGGGAAAGGUGAAAAGCACCCCGGAAGGGGAGUGAAAUAGAACC